GUUUGAAAGUUGAACAUUUCAUUUUCUAAGAAACUUGGGGCCAUAGACCUGGCAGCAGCAAUAUCCUUGGCUUCAGCUGAGAAUAAACCUGAGACUGCUUUCGGGACACCCAAAAAGGGUCCUCCAAUGUUCAUUACUGCUUUUAAAUGUUUAGCACACCAAUCUGAUCCACCUCCUCCACCCAUUGGAGCUGGCGCCUCUA
rnacentral:misc_RNA from 1 species